AUGCGCAUUCCUGUGGACUGGGAAGUUUGUGGAAAAGGGGAAGAACUGGAUGGGAUCAAAUUAGGAGCCAGGGGCUAAGCUGUGAAAGCAGAGAAGGGAAGGGCUCACCUGUAAAGGAUAAGCACGUAUCAUAUCCAUGAGUAAUCACUGCAAGCUUUCCUGAAUGGGCAUUGAACAGUUUCCUGAAUGACUGGGAAACUAAAGACUGAAACAAGAUCUGGGCAUCAGAAAAAUUACUACGACCAGUUGGGAAUAAAACUCUGUCAAGACACCUAAAUUAUAAAGAUGGCGACUGCACUGUCUCUUAGUGGUUCUCAAUACACAUAUAUCUUCCGUACUUUAUCUGCACAUGUUUUAUGUUUCUCAUUAAAUGUUUUCCAGUAUCUUGCAGCAGUGACUUUGGGAAAGGAACAUACUUAAAGGAAAAGAUCUGAAAAUCAGCCCAUGAAAGACAAGGAGAGAAUCAGGACAUUCUGUGCAUAGUAUACUGUCGUCUGUCUGUCCGACAAAGAAACAUCACACAGUUCCCUUGGAGACUGCCAGUCCAGCAGACCUAGGCUCAUAGAAGACAUGUGCUAUACUCUGCACUUGGAAAACUGGCAUUGCUAUGCACUUUCUUCAGAUAAAAAGUGUAAGAAUAUGAAGAUGAAUAUGAAGAUGCAGUAGUAACAGUGCAGGAUAUGUGGAACACAGAUGGCAAGGGAGAAGGCAGAAGCACGGUGAGCCAGUACAGAGUUUGCCAACUGCUCUGUUUUUUGUGUUUGUUGUCUUGGAAACAUAUCCCAAAAUGGAACCUUUGUCUAUCUUAGGCCUCUGAAUAACUUUAAUAAUUGGAGAUCAUCUUCUCCCCUCUAUCCUCCCUCACCAGUUCAGACUAACCAUGUAACACAUGCCAGAUAUAAUUCAUUGUCAUUUGGGAGAUAUUUGUUAAUGCAGUUGUAGCAUAACUCAUCAUGAUUUGCAAUAGUAAUAUAUGUAAUAAAUAACUGUUUAACAAUAUAUAUUUUAUAACUCAAAGAAGUUUUCUACAAGAUAUUCUUAUAAUGGGGGCCAUUCUCAUCCAAACUACUACAGUGGGUUAAUGGUUAUCUUGAAGGUGCCUUAGCUAUAACAGAAACUUUCUCUGGAAUACAUGAUCUGCUUCACUGUGUGUUACCUUCUGCCAUGUUGUGAUGUUGUAAGAAACCCCUCACCAGUUUCUUAUCAGAUGCUCAUGUCAUAUUCUGGAUGCCUUGCCUCUGAAAUUGA